CAGAGUGUGGCUAAAAAGCAAAGCGUCUCCCUUACACUGAGAAGUCAUCCGUGCAAAUCGGAUCACCCUGA
rnacentral:tRNA from 1 species